UGGGGAAUUUUGGACAAUGGGCGAAAGCCUGAUCCAGCAAUGCCGCGUGUGUGAAGAAGGCCUUCGGGUUGUAAAGCACUUUUGUCCGGAAAGAAAUCCUUGGCUCUAAUACAGUCGGGGGAUGACGGUACCGGAAGAAUAAGCACCGGCUAACUACGUGCCAGCAGCCGCGGUAAUACGUAGGGUGCAAGCGUUAAUCGGAAUUACUGGGCGUAAAGCGUGCGCAGGCGGUUUGCUAAGACCGAUGUGAAAUCCCCGGGCUCAACCUGGGAACUGCAUUGGUGACUGGCAGGCUAGAGUAUGGCAGAGGGGGGUAGAAUUCCACGUGUAGCAGUGAAAUGCGUAGAGAUGUGGAGGAAUACCGAUGGCGAAGGCAGCCCCCUGGGCCAAUACUGACGCUCAUGCACGAAAGCGUGGGGAGCAAACAGGAUUAGAUACCCUGGUAGUCCACGCCCUAAACGAUGUCAACUAGUUGUUGGGGAUUCAUUUCCUUAGUAACGUAGCUAACGCGUGAAGUUGACCGCCUGGGGAGUACGGUCGCAAGAUUAAAACUCAAAUGAAUUGG
rnacentral:rRNA from 1 species